rnacentral:lncRNA from 10 species
AAAAGAUUAGGGUGGGAUGGCCAGCUUCUUUGUGCGUGAUGCAAGUGUCACGCCUGGUCCGACCAAUCUCUCUGGCCCUACGUGAAUCAGACACGCCUCCUCAAGCUCAUCUAUAAAAUCCCAUGCAUUUCAUUGUGGAGCCGGAAGUCCCACCCGGGAGCCCCUCUCUCUCCUAAGAGAGAGAGCUAUUCUCUUUCUUUUGCUUAUUGAACCUCCAGGGUUAAACUCACUUCUUGUAUGUCCGCGUUGUUGAUUUCCCUGGCACGAGACGACGAACCUCGGCUGCUGCGGGGGAAGGGGGCUGCUGAGAUGGAGGAUCGCUUGAGCCCAGCAGGUGGAGGCUGCAGUGAGCCACGAUCUCACUAUGGCACUCCAGCCUGAGCAACAAAGUGAGACCAUCUUGGGGGAUAAAACAAAAACACCACAAAAUAAAACCAAAAAAACUCAAAAGUUGUACAAUGGCUGGGAACAAUGGCUCAUGCCUGUAAUCCCAGCACUUUGGAAGGUGGGAGGAUCACUUGAGGCCAGGAGUUCAAGACGAGUUUGGGCAGCAUGGCAAGACCCUGCCUCUAAUUUUAAAAAUAAAAAAUAAAAAUAAACUUUGUAAGAGCAAAUGUGAGUUUUGAUUGUG